rnacentral:tRNA from 1 species
GCCUUCGUGGUGUAGUGGUCAGAACGCUCAGCGCGUAUUCGAGAGGUCCGUGGUUCGAGUCCCGGCGUGGGCA